rnacentral:misc_RNA from 1 species
GAAAUGCGAUAAGUCAUGUGAAUUGCAGAAUUCAGUGAAUCAUCGAAUCUUUGAACGCACCUUGCGCUCCUUGGUAUUCCUUGGAGCAUGCCUGUUUGAGUAUCAUGAAAUCUUCAAAGUAAAUCUUUUGUUAACUCAAUUGGUUUCUACUUUGGUAUUGGAGGUCUUUGCAGCUUCACACCUGCUCCUCUUUGUUCAUUAGCUGGAUCUCAGUGUUAUGCUUGGUUCCACUCGGCGUGAUAAGUUAUCUAUCGCUGAGGACACUGUAAAAGGUGGCCAAGGUAAAUGCAGAUGAACCGCUUCUAAUAGUCCAUUGACUUGGACAAUACUUUUAUGAUCUGAUCUCAAAUCAGGUAGGACUACCCGCUGAACUUAAGC